CACAUGGUGUCGGCAGAUGCAGAGAGGGGCUGGCAAUUCUCAUACCAGGAAUUCCUCUGCUGUCCUUCCAGCAUCAAUUACAGAUCGCCUCCCUUCCUUCCAGCAGCAGAGAACCUGAGUCUUCGCUCCUGACUCCCAACUUCCCACCCAGGCCUGACAGCAAUUUGUAACCCCCGCUUACACAGGCUCUCUUACUGUCUGCAUUUUUGUUUGGAAAAUGAGCAAUUUGCUGUUGGUCGCUUGGCUCCUCUGUGAAGUCGGCAGAAAGGACGGCUCACCGAGGGGGACAGAUGGUCAGUGAAAGCAAGAGUCAGACCGUCAAGCUCAUCGCCCAAGCCUUGCCCCCGCCUGGAUCCCGGGCCGUUACGGGAGAACUGUCACACAGAAGAUUCCAGAGGUGACUUGAAAUCUUCGGUUCCUUGCAAUGGGUAGCACAGAUGGCUGUUUAAGGAACCACAUGAAAGAGCCACCGUGAAAGGAUGAAAUGCACAGAAUUCAAAUGUGGGAAUACGAUACAACCGAAAAUGUCUUAAGACACCAGGAAAAUAUUACACUGUGAUUGUUAAGUGGAAAGAGCAAAGUUUCAGAAGAAUAAAUGAUGUAAAAUUUAUGUAAAAUUAUUAACAUAAUGUAUGUUUUUUAACAUAAUGUAUGUUUUUAUGUAUGUUUACAUAAAAUUUAUAUAAAAUUAUUAACAUAAUGUAUCACACGGUCAGUACUUAAAAUAUGUAAGUCAUUAUCAUUCUUACCUCUCCUUGGAGCCCAGAUCCAAAACCAUUCCCCUUAUCUGAUUGUCCAGAGAUAAUCCCUCCUUACAGCUCCAUAUAGCCAGCCUGACUUUAGCAUGUAUGACUAUAUACCUUGGAUUAUUUUCAUUUAUGGUAUGUUUUAAAUGUCACCUGAUAAUAAAUAUUCCUCCUUCUC